AAGGCUUCCUGAGUCGCCCAGGAUUGGGCCUGGCCCUGCCUGCUUAGAUGUCAUUUAUUUGCCUAGAUAUUACAACGUUUUGUUUUAAAUAUAAUUGGAUUUUUUUCUGCCUUUUUUAAAAGAAAGGUCAACCUUUCCAGCAGUAUGUACUAGAGAAAAAGUAAAUGGGAAAGCAGAUGAGAGCCCUGAGAGAGCCAUGCAGAGUGGAGCUGGAUGGACGUGGGCGGCAUAUCCAGAAACCGACGCCAGAACCACACUGUCUGGCUUUGAAUCCCAGCUCUACCACUUACUGAUCGGCUAACUUCUGUUUCAUCCGGAAGGGAUUCCACCUGCAAGAGCCUUAUAAGCAAAGCUUUUUUCACAGGAAAAAUAUUGCACAAAGAAAAAGUUUCCACGCUGUGAUUGCUUGCAUUCUGGCUAUGCCAUAAAAAGGUGUCAGAGACGACUUCCUUCACCAGGGAAACAUCUUCUGUCCCCUGUCUCUCAGCUGAGGAGCCCAACACUCCUCUCUCGCUUGUCAACUUCUUACCAGAGAAGAGAGUUCCCAGCCAAGGAUCCCCAUGAGUCUCUUGGAUUAUGUCAUCCAGAGAGUUCCAGGAAGCAGUGGGGGGUGAAGGAACCAGAUGAGGCUGCCAACCCAGCAACACUUGCUCUAACCUCGGAAUUGCUUGCUUAGGAUGAAAGGCCAACCCUCCAGUCACUGAGGUUGACAAUGGAUCAUAGGAAGCAAGUGUGGAAGCAGGGCGACCAGUGAGGAGACGGCUGCAGAGACCCAGGUGGGAGCUGAUGCUGGCCUGGCCUGGAGUGGGGGGAAAUAGAGAAUUUACAGGAAUACAUUCAUAUAUUUCCCGUGUAAUUUAAAACGAUUAAAAAGGUCCCUCAAUGAUGUGCAGAGGAAGGCUGGUGCCGACUGUCUGACUCCAGGUCAGCCCGCACUGCCCUGUGGCCCCGGAGCUGCCCUUCUCCAGAUGAUGAGCUCCAGGGUCAUUCUGAGUAAGUAUGGGCCAAACUCCCCAGCCCUGAGUUGGACAGUUUCAGUUUCACUGGAACCAAAUCCCUCAUGCCCAUGAAGAAUCCCAAACACACAGGUCUAUCACAGUUUAUAACAGUCCCAUGUACUGAAGGCUGGGCCUCAAGAUGAAUUGUUGAGUGAGAAGCCAAGGUGGGGAAAAAAACCAGGCAUGGGACAUUUAAGUAGAAUCCUGCUCUUGGAAUGAAAAUAAGAGCUGCCGGGGCUGGCCCCAUGGCCGAGUGGUUAAGUUUGUGCACUCUGAGUCAGUGGCCCAGGGUUUCACCGGUUUGGAUCCUGGGCG